rnacentral:rRNA from 1 species
CCUACGGGAGGCAGCAGUGGGGAAUAUUGGGCAAUGGAGGCAACUCUGACCCAGCAACCCCGCGUGAAUUAUGAAGGUCUUCGGAUUGUAAAGUUCUGUGAUGGGUGAUGAACACAAUGACGGUACCCCACUAGCAAGCCACGGCUAACUACGUGCCAGCAGCCGCGGUAAUACGUAGGUGGCAAGCGUUAUCCGGAAUGACUGGGCGUAAAGGGUGCGUAGGUGGUUUAGUAAGUUGGCGGUGUAAUUCCGGGGCGCAACCUCGGCGCUACCGCCAAAACUAUUAGACUAGAGUGCAGGAGGGGUAAGUGGAAUUCCUAGGGUAGCGGUGGAAUGCGUAGAUAUUAGGAGGAACAUCAGGGGCGAAGGCGACUUACUGGACUGUAACUGACACUGAGGCACGAAAGCGUGGGGAGCAAACAGGAUUAGAUACCCCUGUAGUC